rnacentral:rRNA from 1 species
ACUCCUACGGGAGGCAGCAGUGGGGAAUAUUGGACAAUGGGCGCAAGCCUGAUCCAGCCAUGCCGCGUGAGUGAUGAAGGCCCUAGGGUUGUAAAGCUCUUUUGUGCGGGAAGAUAAUGACGGUACCGCAAGAAUAAGCCCCGGCUAACUUCGUGCCAGCAGCCGCGGUAAUACGAAGGGGGCUAGCGUUGCUCGGAAUCACUGGGCGUAAAGGGUGCGUAGGCGGGUCUUUAAGUCAGGGGUGAAAUCCUGGAGCUCAACUCCAGAACUGCCUUUGAUACUGAAGAUCUUGAGUUCGGGAGAGGUGAGUGGAACUGCGAGUGUAGAGGUGAAAUUCGUAGAUAUUCGCAAGAACACCAGUGGCGAAGGCGGCUCACUGGCCCGAUACUGACGCUGAGGCACGAAAGCGUGGGGAGCAAACAGGAUUAGAUACCCUUGUAGUCCCAU